UGCUCCCAGUCAGUCAGCGGCGGACGGGUGAGUAACACGUGGGUAACCUGCCUGUAAGACUGGGAUAACUCCGGGAAACCGGGGCUAAUACCGGAUAACUCAUUUCCUCGCAUGAGGAAAUGUUGAAAGGUGGCUUUUAGCUAUCACUUACAGAUGGACCCGCGGCGCAUUAGCUAGUUGGUGAGGUAACGGCUCACCAAGGCGACGAUGCGUAGCCCACCCCCCGAGGAGGGUGAUUCGCCCACACGGGGGAAUGAGAACACCCCCCCCAGACUCCUAGCGGGAGGCAGCAGUAGGGAAUCUCUCCACAAAGGGAAGAAAGUCUGACGGAACAACCCCCGCGUGAGUAAAAAAGGUUUUCGGAUCGUAAAACUCUGUUGUUAGGGAAGAACAAGUACCGUUCGAAUAGGGCGGUACCUUGACGGUACCUAACCAGAAAGCCACGGCUAACUACGUGCCAGCAGCCGCGGUAAUACGUAGGUGGCAAGCGUUGUCCGGAAUUAUUGGGCGUAAAGCGCGCGCAGGUGGUUCCUUAAGUCUGAUGUGAAAGCCCACGGCUCAACCGUGGAGGGUCAUUGGAAACUGGGGGACUUGAGUGCAGAAGAGGAAAGUGGAAUUCCAAGUGUAGCGGUGAAAUGCGUAGAUAUUUGGAGGAACACCAGUGGCGAAGGCGACUUUCUGGUCUGUAACUGACACUGAGGCGCGAAAGCGUGGGGAGCAAACAGGAUUAGAUACCCUGGUAGUCCACGCCGUAAACGAUGAGUGCUAAGUGGUUUAGGGGGUUUCCGCCCCUUAGUGCUGCAGCUAACGCAUUAAGCACUCCGCCUGGGGGAGUACGGUCGCAAGACUGAAACUCAAAGGAAUUGACGGGGGCCCGCACAAGCGGUGGAACCAGGUGGUUUAAUUCGAAGCAACGCGAAGAACCUUACCAGGUCUUGACAUCCUCUGACAACCCUAGAGAAUAGGGCUUUCCCCUUCGGGGGACAGAAUGACAGGUGGUGGCAAGGGUUGUCCUCCAGCUCCUGUCUGGGAAGAUGUUGGGGUUAAGUCCCGCAACCAAGCGCAACCCCUUGAUCUUAGUUGCCAGCCAUUCAGUUGGGGCACUCUAAGAAUAAAGGCCGGUGACAAACCAGAGAAAAGGGGGGGAUGUGAAGAAAAAAAAAAAAAGGCCCCUUAUGACCUGGGCUACACACGUGCUACAAUGGACGGUACAAAGGGCAGCAAGACCGCGAGGUUUAGCCAAUCCCAUAAAACCGUUCUCAGUUCGGAUUGUAGGCUGCAACUCGCCUACAUGAAGCUGG
rnacentral:rRNA from 1 species